GCGGAUAAGGCCAAUAGAUGGCUUGACUAAUACCUCCAGUAAAGGUAUUAGAUGCGAAAGCAUGUCCCAGCGAUCCUUUAGUUUCUGCAGCAAUGCAGGAUCUCAAAGUUUGAGGCUAGAGGUGUCAGAAAAAUUACCAUAGGGAUAACUGGCUUGUGGCCGCCAAGGCUUCAUAGCGACGUGGCUUUUUGAUCCUUCGAUGUCGGCUCUUCCUAUCAUUGCGAAGCAGAAUUCGCAAAGUGUUGGAUUGUUCACCCACU
rnacentral:rRNA from 1 species